rnacentral:rRNA from 1 species
UACGUAGGGUGCAAGCGUUGUCCGGAAUUAUUGGGCGUAAAGAGCUCGUAGGCGGCUUGUUGCGUCGACCGUGAAAACCCGUGGCUUAACUGCGGGCUUGCGGUCGAUACGGGCGGGCUGGAGUUCGGUAGGGGAGACUGGAAUUCCCGGUGUAGUGGUGAAAUGCGUAGAUAUCGGGAGGAACACCAGUGGCGAAGGCGACUACCUGGCCUGUUCUUGACGCUGAGGCGCGAAAGCUGGGGGAGCAAACGGG